rnacentral:rRNA from 1 species
AACGAACGCUGGCGGCAGGCCUAACACAUGCAAGUCGAGCGAAGCCUUCGGGCUUAGCGGCGGACGGGUGAGUAACGCGUGGGAACGUGCCCGUUGGUACGGAAUAGCCCCGGGAAACUGGGAGUAAUACCGUAUGUGGUCGAGAGACGAAAGAUUUAUCGCCAAAGGGUCGGCCCGCGUUGGAUUAGGUAGUUGGUGGGGUAAUGGCCUACCAAGCCGACGAUCCAGAGCUGGUUUGAGAGGAUGAUCAGCCACACUGGGACUGAGACACGGCCCAGACUCCUACGGGAGGCAGCAGUGGGGAAUCUUAGACAAUGGGGGAAACCCUGAUCUAGCCAUGCCGCGUGAUCGAUGAAGGCCUUAGGGUUGUAAAGAUCUUUCAGUGGGGAAGAUAAUGACUGUACCCACAGAAGAAGCCCCGGCUAACUCCGUGCCAGCCGCCGCCGUAACAC